rnacentral:lncRNA from 1 species
GUUUUGUUGAAUGUAAUGAAAACUUUAAUCUUUUGAACUUAAAAAUGUUAGAGUAUUUAUGAACUGAUGUGCUAUUUUACAUUAAAUGAUAUUGCCAGAGUUUUGUAGAAUUAGAAUCACACAUAACAGCUGACAUAGUGCCAGAUGUGCAGGAGUUAAACAACGAGACAGUCUUAAUAAUUCAGACUUGUUUCAGAAUGAGUAAAUCAUUUACUU